rnacentral:rRNA from 1 species
UACGGGGGGGCGAGCGUUGUUCGGAAUCACUGGGCGUAAAGGGCGCGUAGGCGGCCCGCACAAGUCUGCGGUGAAAACCUCCGGCUUAACCGGGGGCCGGCCGUGGAAACUGUCGGGCUGGAGGCUGGGAGAGGGCAGCGGAAUUCCCGGUGUAGCGGUGAAAUGCGUAGAGAUCGGGAGGAACACCGGUGGCGAAGGCGGCUGCCUGGACCAGUCCUGACGCUGAGGCGCGAAAGCUAGGGGAGCAAACAGG